UACGGGGGGAGCAAGCGUUGUUCGGAUUUACUGGGCGUAAAGGGCGCGUAGGCGGUCAGCACAAGUCAGUUGUGAAAUCUCCGGGCUUAACCCGGAAAGGUCAAUCGAUACUGCAGGGCUAGAGUGCAGAAGGGGCAACUGGAAUUCUCGGUGUAGCGGUGAAAUGCGUAGAUAUCGAGAGGAACACCUGCGGCGAAGGCGGGUUGCUGGGCUGACACUGACGCUGAAGCGCGAAAGCCAGGGGAGCAAACGGG
rnacentral:rRNA from 1 species